AACUGAUACUACCUGCGGGAACCUGCGGAAGGAUCAUUACUGAAGUGAUUUGGGGAUGUUGCUGGCCCUCUCUCAAGGGGGGGCACUGUGUACUCCUCGAAACAAUUCACAAUUUCCAUCACACCCCUUGUGCACACCUUGUAGGCACCCAAACCCACCUCCGGGUGGUGGGGUCCUAUGUAUUCCUUCAUCUCACACUCUGUUGAAUGGUGCCAUGGGACGCAUCUAAAGGAUUAUUUG
rnacentral:misc_RNA from 1 species